UAUGUCUUUCUAACGCGUCUCGCCUGGCUAUUAAGAUACAUGAUGUUUGAUACUUUGAUGUAAUGCCUUACUGAUCCGCUAACAAGUGUGACUGAGUUUUAUUAUUCUUCACAAGAAAUUUGUAAACUGGUAAUGAUCCAAAGGUCUGUAGCUGGUGGUUUAGGUAUCAAUCUUGCACACCAGAUAUUGUCAUCAUUUUUGAAUCAGAUUGGAAUCCUCAGAAUGAUCUGCAGGUUUGGGAGUGUAUGA
rnacentral:lncRNA from 1 species